rnacentral:rRNA from 1 species
AUGAACGCUAGCUACAGGCUUAACACAUGCAAGUCGAGGGGUAGCAGGGUAGCAAUACCGCUGACGACCGGCGCACGGGUGAGUAACACGUAUCCAACCUUCCCAUAACUCAGGGAUAGCCUUUCGAAAGAAAGAUUAAUACCUGAUAGUACUUUUUCAAGGCAUCUUGAGAAAGUUAAAGAUUUAUUGGUUAUGGAUGGGGAUGCGUUCCAUUAGAUAGUUGGUGAGGUAACGGCUCACCAAGUCUUCGAUGGAUAGGGGUUCUGAGAGGAAGGUCCCCCACAUUGGUACUGAGACACGGACCAAACUCCUACGGGAGGCAGCAGUGAGGAAUAUUGGUCAAUGGGCGAGAGCCUGAACCAGCCAAGUAGCGUGAAGGAUGAAGGUCCUAUGGAUUGUAAACUUCUUUUAUAGUAGAAUAAAGUGAUCCACGUGUGGAUUUUUGUAUGUAUACUAUGAAUAAGGAUCGGCUAACUCCGUGCCAGCCGCAGC